CAAACACAGCUGCAGAAAUUGCCCAAACAGCCGCUGAGAUGGCUGAAUUUCAUGUGCAACCUGCUGCCCCUGUUCAAAGACCAGCUGGACCUGCUGUACAUGCUGAUAUUGAACCAGAAAAUCCAGCCAAGAGGGCACCAAUACCAAGAGAAAGAACACUGAGAGAGUUGGCAGCCCCUGUUGAUGAUAAAGCGCUAUGGUGCAUCACUUACCCACCUUUGACAGCCCCUUUUGAGCUCAAAACAAGUUUGAUACAUCUACUACCUAAAUUUAGAGGUUUGGAGCAUGAAAAUCCACAUAAGCACUUGAAAGAAUUUCAUUUUGUUUGUUCAUCCAUGGGACCACAAGGCAUAUCUGAAGAGCAUGUUAAGUUAAGAGCAUUCCCAUUCUCACUUGAUGAUUAUGCCAAAGAUUGAUUAUUUUACUUGCUACCUGGAUCAAUCACUUCUUGGGAAGGUAUGGUAAGAGCCUUUCUGAAUAAAUAUUUUCCAACUUCUAAAAUAAUAGGCAUAAGAAGAGAGAUUAGUUGCAUUAAGCAAGAAGAAACUGAAGAUUUGUAUGAUUACUGGGAAAGAUUUAAUAGAUUGUGUACAAAUUGUCCUCAACAUGACAUUUCAGAAAGAUCACUCAUAGAAUUCUUCUGUGGAGGUUUGCUACCAUCCGAAAGGAAAUUCAUUGAUGUAGCAUGUAGAGGUUCAAUUAAAGAUAGCACACCUCAAGCAAUUAGAGAGUUGAUUUCAAGACUUGCAGUAGCAUCUAGACAAUAUGGAGAUGAAAAGCAAUUGCAAAAAGGAGUCAAUGAGGUAGGUAUAUCUGUUCUCACUUCUCAAAUUUCUGAACUAACCUCUGCUUUGAAAAGUCUUGUUAUAGGUCAAGCUCAACAACUUCAACAAGUACAUGCAUUUGAAGGAUC
rnacentral:lncRNA from 1 species